CUGUCCACCGGGGUUGUUUCGAAGACCUGGUAAACCCACGGCCCCUUAUAAUCAUCAGUCUCUAUAAAGGGCACGAUGGAACCACUUACAGCGCAUCUGGGGUAUUCCCCAUGUAACACGAUCUCUUGUCUGACCCACUUGAACUUGACCAUUUGGUGCAACGUGGAAGGCACUACUUUGGCUGCGUGGUUCCACGAUCAUCCCAAAAAAAUAUUAUAAGAUACUACAGCGUCCAACACCUGCAAUUCCAUAAUGAUCUCGACUGGGCCAGUAGUCAAUUCAAGUAUAAUAUCCCCCACCGUGUCUGUUCCACCUACG
rnacentral:lncRNA from 1 species